rnacentral:rRNA from 1 species
UACGAAGGGGGCUAGCGUUGUUCGGAAUUACUGGGCGUAAAGCGUAUGUAGGCGGAUCUUUAAGUCAGGGGUGAAAUCCCGAGGCUCAACCUCGGAACUGCCUUUGAUACUGAAGAUCUUGAGUUCGGGAGAGGUGAGUGGAACUGCGAGUGUAGAGGUGAAAUUCGUAGAUAUUCGCAAGAACACCAGUGGCGAAGGCGGCUCACUGGCCCGAUACUGACGCUGAGGCACGAAAGCGUGGGGAGCAAACAGG